rnacentral:rRNA from 1 species
GACGAACGCUGGCGGCGUGCUUAACACAUGCAAGUCGAACGGAAAGGCCUGCAGCUUGCUGCGGGUACUCGAGUGGCGAACGGGUGAGUAACACGUGGGUGAUCUGCCUUGCACUUCGGGAUAAGCUUGGGAAACUGGGUCUAAUACCGGAUAGGACAGCUGUUUAGUGUCAGUUGUGGAAAGUUUUUUCGGUGCAAGAUGAGCUCGCGGCCUAUCAGCUUGUUGGUGGGGUAAUGGCCUACCAAGGCGUCGACGGGUAGCCGGCCUGAGAGGGUGUACGGCCACAUUGGGACUGAGAUACGGCCCAGACUCCUACGGGAGGCAGCAGUGGGGAAUAUUGCACAAUGGGCGGAAGCCUGAUGCAGCGACGCCGCGUGGGGGAUGAAGGCCUUCGGGUUGUAAACUCCUUUCGACAGGGACGAAGCGUAAGUGACGGUACCUGUAUAAGAAGCACCGGCUAACUACGUGCCAGCAGCCGCGGUAAUACGUAGGGUGCGAGCGUUGUCCGGAUUUACUGGGCGUAAAGAGCUCGUAGGUGGUUUGUCGCGUCGUCUGUGAAAUUCCGGGGCUUAACUCCGGGCGUGCAGGCGAUACGGGCUGACUUGAGUGCUGUAGGGGAGACUGGAAUUCCUGGUGUAGCGGUGAAAUGCGCAGAUAUCAGGAGGAACACCGAUGGCGAAGGCAGGUCUCUGGGCAGUAACUGACGCUGAGGAGCGAAAGCAUGGGUAGCGAACAGGAUUAGAUACCCUGGUAGUCCAUGCCGUAAACGGUGGGCGCUAGGUGUAGGGGGCUUCCACGUCUUCUGUGCCGUAGCUAACGCAUUAAGCGCCCCGCCUGGGGAGUACGGCCGCAAG